CAGGAGAGCUGCCAGGUAGGACGGCGGGCAAAGCGCUUCUUCAAGUUCCUGCGCUGGAGUCACCACCCGAGAGGCAUCGCCGUCUGGCGUUGGUGUCUGAGCAGAAGCCGCAGGAACCAGCGGGAGCAGCAGGAGGAGCUGCGGGACUCGUUUGCCGAGUCACGUAAUGAUCGGGUAUCAGAAAAAGACGUCAGCAUCCUAGUCCCUCAAGGAACAUAUUAACUAUUCUGUGCUGUCCUCUUGGAUGAUAAGAUCCGGAGUCAUCGACUUCUCAUAAACACCUUUCACUCAUACAAUCCAAUUUUUAAGAAGUCCAAUUGUUUUGAUGGUUUUCAAUUUCACCCGUUUCUCAAGGACAGCCUCACCAAUCAGAGCUCUGGUCUCUGGAAUUAAGCAUCAUCAAGCUCUCCUAUUAAUAAAUUUAAUUUAGAUCUCCUAA
ensembl:lncRNA novel transcript, antisense to ADCYAP1